UUCUUCUGUAUGGGGAGGGGCACCCUAAGACCUGGCUGGUUGGCUGAUGACGCACCCAUUGGAUGAAAUGAACAACAACGCAUCCUCAGAUCUCCCCAGCCACACUGGCCAUGCCACUGUGCCGACCGACACAGCUGUGUCUCUCUCUGUGACUUGAUGCCCAGCCUCUCUUGUCCCUCGAGAAACACUCCACUGAGCUAGCCUCCAAAGGCGGGCUUUCUCUUUGUCCAUGGAGAGAACCCCCAGUUGUUCCCUCAGGGCGAGGGGAGGACUUCUGCCGUCUGGGAUGGAACCAUCAAGGUUUCAGAUUGUGUGUCUGUCAAAACACAUUUGGUCAGGGGUGGAACAGAGGGAGCUGGGCAGAUAAAUGACUCUGCCAGGAACGUGCUGGUCUACCAAGCAUGAGAAUGUGAGUUCAAUUCCCAGAACCUACAUUAAAAACAAACAACGAUCAAGAGAGAGCAGGGUGUGUGGGUUCUGCUUCUGAUCCCAGGGCCGAGGUGGCUUCCUCUUGUUAGCAAGUAGGGCGAUUUACUCAGUGACUUUUUUUUCAGCCCAAUGAGAGCUCUCAUCUCAAAAAUAAGAUCAAGUACUGUGGGGCAAUGGGCUAUGUACAAACGGCCUGGUCUCCAGUCUCGAGCUGAGGUCAUGAACCCCAGUAGGACUCGGUGGUGGUAAGUUUCACCUACAUGGGACAGAAGACAUUCCCUCAUGUCUCCUGGAC